rnacentral:rRNA from 1 species
UACAGAGGUGGCAAGCGUUGUUUCGGAAUUACUGGGGCGUAAAGGGCGCGUAGGCGGCCUUCUAAGUCAGACGUGAAAUCCCCCGGCUUAACCUGGGAACUGGCGUCUGAUACUGGGAGGCUUGAGUAUGGGAGAGGGAUGGUAGAAUUCCAGGUGUAGCGGUGAAAAUGCGUAGAUAUCUGGAGGAAUACCGGUGGCGAAGGCGGCAUCCUGGACCAUAACUGACGCUGAGGCGCGAAAAGCUAGGGGAGCAAACGGGGA